rnacentral:rRNA from 1 species
UCAGCGGUAACGAUGAAUACUCGGUAUUGACUUGUCAGUGCCAAGCGAAGUGAUAGUAUUCCACCUGGGGAGUACGCGCAAGUGAAACUCAAAGGAAUGACGGGGGCGCACAAGCGGUGGAGCAUGUGGUUUAAUCGAUGAUACGCGAGGAACCUUACAGGGCUAAAUGCAGAACGACAGAGGUGGAAACACCUCCUUCUCGGACGGUCUGCAAGGUGCUGCAUGGUUGUCGUCAGCUCGUGCUGUGAAGUGUCGGGUUAAGUCCCAUAACGAGCGCAACCCCUAUUUCUAGUUGCCAGCGGUUCGGCCGGGGACUCUAGAGAAACUGCCAGCGUAAGCUGUGAGGAAGGUGGGGAUGACGUCAAAUCAUCACGGCCCUUACGUCCUGGGCUACACACGUGCUACAAUGGUAGGGACAGAGAGUUGCCAACCCGCGAGGGUGAGCUAAUCUUCAAACCCUAUCUCAGUUCGGAUCGGAGUCUGCAACUCGACUCCGUGAAGUUGGAAUCGCUAGUAAUCGCAUAUCAGCCAUGAUGCGGUGAAUACGUUCCCGGGCCUUGUACACACCGCCCGUCAAGCCAUGGAAGCUGGGGGCGCCUGAAGUCGGUCACCGUAAGGAGCUGCCUAGGGCGAAACUAGUAACUGGGGCUAAGUCGUAACAAGGUAA